CUAGGCGCUGACAGCUGUGGUACUAGCAGUCUCAUCUGAGUUUUUAAAACCAUUCAGUAAGGAAUCCUCCCAAAACGAUGAAGACUGGCAUAUUACUUAUGAUAUCUUACCUUGUUAACGUUAUAGCUAGCAUUGGGCCAGAGCUCUUCGUUUUGCAAUACCCCGAAGAUGCCAGCGUGCUGCUUAAUUCCACUGUGUGGAUGCUGUGUGUCUUUGAAUAUCCCAAGGAAGAGAAUGAGGAGCCAGUUGUAUACUGGAGGAAGGGCCCCAGCUGUGACAAUCAGCAGAGUCUUCGGUCAAGUUCAGGAGCAGGCAGGCCACACAUACACAUUACCAAGGACGUAUUCAGGGGAUUCUCUAUCUUAAAACUGAGCAAUGUUGACAAGAAUGACAGCAACUCAUAUUUCUGUGAUGUGAUACUAACCCAGAAAACCCAGGGCAAAUGCGGAAACGGCACCAAGCUGACAGUACACGAUUUCAUAUGCAAAGAAUGUAUAAGAUCAGAACCGACCUGGUGGUGUUGGUUCCUUCUUCUUGGAUACACUCUCUUUGUCACCACAGUUAUCAUAGCUUUUGGUAUUCAUCAGUACUGUAAAAAGUGCAAGAAUGAUUCAAGAAAUACAGAUAGCAGCACUACCCUGCCAAGUGAAUGGAUUUAUGAUAAGCCAUCCAAACCUGUUAAUAAUGGGUCUAACCAAGAAUACGAAGAUAUGUCACUAAUAAGAACUUUCAGUCACAUUGAAAGGAAAGUGAUAUGA
rnacentral:lncRNA from 1 species